rnacentral:rRNA from 1 species
CAAUAGCGUAUAUUAAAGUUGUUGCGGUUAAAAAGCUCGUAGUUGGAUUUCUGCCGAGGACGACCGGUCCGCCCUCUGGGUGAGUAUCUGGCUUGGCCUGGGCAUCUUCUUGGAGAACGUAGCUGCACUUGACUGUGUGGUGCGGUAUCCAGGACUUUACUUGAGGAAAUUAGAGUGUUUCGAGCAGGCAUGCGCCUUGAAUACAUUAGCAUGGAAUAAUAAUCUAGGACUUCGGUGCUAUUUUGUUGGUUUCUGGAACUGAAGUAAUGAUUGAUAGGGAUAGUUGGGGGUGCUAGUAUUGAGCGGCCAGAGGUGAAAUUCUUGGAUUCGCUCAAGACUAACUUAUGCGAAAGCAUUCACCAAGGAUGUCUUCUUUAAUCAAGAACGAAAGUUGGGGGAUCGAAGAUGAUCAGAUACCA